rnacentral:rRNA from 1 species
AGCCCAGAGCCUGAAUCAGUGUGUGUGUUAGUGGAAGCGUCUGGAAAGGCGCGCGAUACAGGGUGACAGCCCCGUACACAAAAAUGCACAUGCUGUGAGCUCGAUGAGUAGGGCGGGACACGUGGUAUCCUGUCUGAAUAUGGGGGGACCAUCCUCCAAGGCUAAAUACUCCUGACUGACCGAUAGUGAACCAGUACCGUGAGGGAAAGGCGAAAAGAACCCCGGCGAGGGGAGUGAAAAAGAACCUGAAACCGUGUACGUACAAGCAGUGGGAGCACAGAGCAAUCUGUGUGACUGCGUACCUUUUGUAUAAUGGGUCAGCGACUUAUAUUCUGUAGCAAGGUUAACCGAAUAGGGGAGCCGAAGGGAAACCGAGUCUUAACCGGGCGUUAAGUUGCAGGGUAUAGACCCGAAACCCGGUGAUCUAGCCAUGGGCAGGUUGAAGGUUGGGUAACACUAACUGGAGGACCGAACCGACUAAUGUUGAAAAAUUAGCGGAUGACUUGUGGCUGGGGGUGAAAGGCCAAUCAAACCGGGAGAUAGCUGGUUCUCCCCGAAAGCUAUUUAGGUAGCGCCUCGUGAAUUCAUCUCCGGGGGUAGAGCACUGUUUCGGCAAGGGGGUCAUCCCGACUUACCAACCCGAUGCAAACUGCGAAUACCGGAGAAUGUUAUCACGGGAGACACACGGCGGGUGCUAACGUCCGUCGUGAAGAGGGAAACAACCCAGACCGCCAGCUAAGGUCCCAAAGUCAUGGUUAAGUGGGAAACGAUGUGGGAAGGCCCAGACAGCCAGGAUGUUGGCUUAGAAGCAGCCAUCAUUUAAAGAAAGCGUAAUAGCUCACUGGUCGAGUCGGCCUGCGCGGAAGAUGUAACGGGGCUAAACCAUGCACCGAAGCUGCGGCAGCGACACUGUGUGUUGUUGGGUAGGGGAGCGUUCUGUAAGCCUGUGAAGGUGUGCUGUGAGGCAUGCUGGAGGUAUCAGAAGUGCGAAUGCUGACAUAAGUAACGAUAAAGCGGGUGAAAAGCCCGCUCGCCGGAAGACCAAGGGUUCCUGUCCAACGUUAAUCGGGGCAGGGUGAGUCGACCCCUAAGGCGAGGCCGAAAGGCGUAGUCGAUGGGAAACAGGUUAAUAUUCCUGUACUUGGUGUUACUGCGAAGGGGGGACGGAGAAGGCUAUGUUGGCCGGGCGACGGUUGUCCCGGUUUAAGCGUGUAGGCUGGUUUUCCAGGCAAAUCCGGAAAAUCAAGGCUGAGGCGUGAUGACGAGGCACUACGGUGCUGAAGCAACAAAUGCCCUGCUUCCAGGAAAAGCCUCUAAGCAUCAGGUAACAUCAAAUCGUACCCCAAACCGACACAGGUGGUCAGGUAGAGAAUACCAAGGCGCUUGAGAGAACUCGGGUGAAGGAACUAGGCAAAAUGGUGCCGUAACUUCGGGAGAAGGCACGCUGAUAUGUAGGUGAAGUCCCUCGCGGAUGGAGCUGAAAUCAGUCGAAGAUACCAGCUGGCUGCAACUGUUUAUUAAAAACACAGCACUGUGCAAACACGAAAGUGGACGUAUACGGUGUGACGCCUGCCCGGUGCCGGAAGGUUAAUUGAUGGGGUCAGCGCAAGCGAAGCUCUUGAUCGAAGCCCCGGUAAACGGCGGCCGUAACUAUAACGGUCCUAAGGUAGCGAAAUUCCUUGUCGGGUAAGUUCCGACCUGCACGAAUGGCGUAAUGAUGGCCAGGCUGUCUCCACCCGAGACUCAGUGAAAUUGAACUCGCUGUGAAGAUGCAGUGUACCCGCGGCAAGACGGAAAGACCCCGUGAACCUUUACUAUAGCUUGACACUGAACAUUGAGCCUUGAUGUGUAGGAUAGGUGGGAGGCUUUGAAGUGUGGACGCCAGUCUGCAUGGAGCCGACCUUGAAAUACCACCCUUUAAUGUUUGAUGUUCUAACGUGGACCCGUGAUCCGGGUUGCGGACAGUGUCUGGUGGGUAGUUUGACUGGGGCGGUCUCCUCCUAAAGAGUAACGGAGGAGCACGAAGGUUGGCUAAUCCUGGUCGGACAUCAGGAGGUUAGUGCAAUGGCAUAAGCCAGCUUGACUGCGAGCGUGACGGCGCGAGCAGGUGCGAAAGCAGGUCAUAGUGAUCCGGUGGUUCUGAAUGGAAGGGCCAUCGCUCAACGGAUAAAAGGUACUCCGGGGAUAACAGGCUGAUACCGCCCAAGAGUUCAUAUCGACGGCGGUGUUUGGCACCUCGAUGUCGGCUCAUCACAUCCUGGGGCUGAAGUAGGUCCCAAGGGUAUGGCUGUUCGCCAUUUAAAGUGGUACGCGAGCUGGGUUUAGAACGUCGUGAGACAGUUCGGUCCCUAUCUGCCGUGGGCGCUGGAGAACUGAGGGGGGCUGCUCCUAGUACGAGAGGACCGGAGUGGACGCAUCACUGGUGUUCGGGUUGUCAUGCCAAUGGCACUGCCCGGUAGCUAAAUGCGGAAGAGAUAAGUGCUGAAAGCAUCUAAGCACGAAACUUGCCCCGAGAUGAGUUCUCCCUGACCCUUUAAGGGUCCUGAAGGAACGUUGAAGACGACGACGU